AUUGAACGCUGGCGGCAGGCCUAACACAUACAAGUCGAGCGGAUGACGGGAGCUUGCUCCUUGAUUCAGCGGCGGACGGGUGAGUAAUGCCUAGGAAUCUGCCUGGUAGUGGGGGACAACGUUUCGAAAGGAACGCCAAUACCGCAUACGUCCUACGGGAGAAAGCAGGGGACCUUCUGGCCUUGCACGAUCAGAUGAGCCUAGGUCGGAUUAGCUAGUUGGUGGGGUAAUGGCUCACAAAGGCGACGAUCCGUAACUGGUCUGAGAGGAUGAUCAGUCACACUGGGACUGAGACACGGUCCAGACUCCUACGGGAGGCAGCAGUGGGGAAUAUUGGACAAUGGGCGAAAGCCUGAUCCAGCCAUGCCGCGUGUGUGAAGAAGGUCUUCGGAUUGUAAAGCACUUUAAGUUGGGAGGAAGGGCAGUAAGCUGAUACCUUGCUGUUUUGACGUUACCGACAGAAUAAGCACCGGCUAACUCUGUGCCAGCCGCCGCAGUAA
rnacentral:rRNA from 1 species